AUUGAACGCUGGCGGCAUGCUUUACACAUGCAAGUCGAACGAGUGGCGGACGGGUGAGUAACGUAUCGGAACCUUCCUGGUAGUGGGGGAUAACUACUCGAAACGACAGCUAAUACCGCAUACCAUUCGAGUUGCCGAUGUGUGAUUAGCUGGUUGGUGGGGUAAAGGCUCACCAAGGCGACGAUCCGUAGCGGGUCUGAGCGGAUGACCCGCCACACGGGAACUGGGACACGGUCCAGACUCCUACGGGAGGCAGCAGUGGGGAAUUUUGGACAAUGGGCGCAAGCCUGAUGCAGCCAUGCCGCGUGUCUGAAGAAGGCCUUCGGGUUGUAAAGGACUUUUGGCAGGGAAGCGGUACCUGAAGAAGAAGCACCGGCUAACUACGUGCCAGCAGCCGCGGUAAUUC
rnacentral:rRNA from 1 species